CUACGUGCCAGCAGCCGCGGUAAUACGUAGGUCCCGAGCGUUAUCCGGAUUUAUUGGGCGUAAAGCGAGCGCAGGCGAUUAGAUAAGUCUGAAGUUAAAGGCUGUGGCUUAACCAUAGUACGCUUUGGAAACUGUUUAACUUGAGUGCAAGAGGGGAGAGUGGAAUUCCAUGUGUAGCGGUGAAAUGCGUAGAUAUAUGGAGGAACACCGGUGGCGAAAGCGGCUCUCUGGCUUGUAACUGACGCUGAGGCUCGAAAGCGUGGGGAGCAAACAGGAUUAGAUACCCUGGUAGUCCACGCCGUAAACGAUGAGUGCUAGGUGUUAGACCCUUUCCGGGGUUUAGUGCCGUAGCUAACGCAUUAAGCACUCCGCCUGGGGAGUACGACCGCAAGGUUGAAACUCAAAGGAAUUGACGGGGGCCCGCACAAGCGGUGGAGCACGUGGUUUAAUUCGAUGCAAACCGAAGAACCUUACCUGGGUUUGACAU
rnacentral:rRNA from 1 species